rnacentral:rRNA from 1 species
CCAAUAGCGUAUAUUAAAGUUGUUGCAGUUAAAAAGCUCGUAGUUGAAUUUCGAGAUCAGUACGCUGGUCGUGCCUUCGGUACUAUGCACUGGUGUCACUGGUUUCUCCCUUCUGAAGAACCGUAAUGCCAUUCAGUUGGUGUGGCGGGGAAUCAGGAUUGUUACUUUGAAAAAAUUAGAGUGUUUAAAGCAGGCUCGUGCUUGAAUACAUUAGCAUGGA